CUACGGGAUGCAGCAGUGGGGAAUAUUGGGCAAUGGGCGCAAGCCUGACCCAGCAACGCCGCGUGAGGGAAGAAGGUUUUCGGAUUGUAAACCUCUGUCCUUGGGGACGAGGAAGUGACGGUACCCAAGGAGGAAGCUCCGGCUAACUACGUGCCAGCAGCCGCGGUAAUACGUAGGGAGCAAGCGUUGUCCGGAAUUACUGGGCGUAAAGGGUGCGUAGGCGGCAUAUUAAGUCAGGUGUGAAAUACUCGGGCUCAACCCGGGGGCUGCAUUUGAAACUGAUAUGCUUGAGUGUGAGAGAGGAAAGUGGAAUUCCUAGUGUAGCGGUGGAAUGCGUAGAUAUUAGGAAGAACACCAGUGGCGAAGGCGACUUUCUGGCUCAUAACUGACGCUGAGGCACGAAAGCGUGGGGAGCAAACAGGAUUAGAUACCCUCGUAGUC
rnacentral:rRNA from 1 species